rnacentral:rRNA from 1 species
UGGGGAAUUUUGGACAAUGGGCGAAAGCCUGAUCCAGCAAUGCCGCGUGUGUGAAGAAGGCCUUCGGGUUGUAAAGCACUUUUGUCCGGAAAGAAAUCCUUGGCUCUAAUACAGUCGGGGGAUGACGGUACCGGAAGAAUAAGCACCGGCUAACUACGUGCCAGCAGCCGCGGUAAUACGUAGGGUGCAAGCGUUAAUCGGAAUUACUGGGCGUAAAGCGUGCGCAGGCGGUUUGCUAAGACCGAUGUGAAAUCCCCGGGCUCAACCUGGGAACUGCAUUGGUGACUGGCAGGCUAGAGUAUGGCAGAGGGGGGUAGAAUUCCACGUGUAGCAGUGAAAUGCGUAGAGAUGUGGAGGAAUACCGAUGGCGAAGGCAGCCCCCUGGGCCAAUACUGACGCUCAUGCACGAAAGCGUGGGGGAGCAAACAGGAUUAGAUACCCCUGGUAGUCCACGCCCU